rnacentral:lncRNA from 1 species
GUUUCCGUAUAGAAAAGAGACCUCCAGUUUCCAUCACAGGAAAAACAAAUGAUACUUCAUUAAGACAACAACAACAACAACAACAAACUACUGGAUGAAAAGAAGUCGAGUGAAUGCCCAGAUGUGGCAAACACUCCAAAUGAAGGAGAUGGAAACAGGCCUGUUCUGUGCUCUGGUCAGGCCCACUGUAGUGAGGGGACCGGCAGGCUGCCUGCCAGCUCUGCUCCAUGCCUGGACAGACUCAGUUUCCCGGCCUCUUCACCAGUUGAUAUGCUGGCACCGAAGGACAGCUGUCCCACAGACAAGCUGAAAUGGCUUCCGUGGCUAAGUGCUGAAGAGUCUGUGGCUGCCCUAUCCUAGAGCAAGGCCCUUCCUAAUGGUGGAACUGCCACCCCCACCAUCCCACCACGAGUCAGGAUAGUCUUGUCCUGUGUUGAAAAUUCUGUCACCCUUCUCAGACAAAGUGCAUCUGUUAAUAAAAUCCCUUCUUAGGGGAAGCACGAACAAUGAUUAUGCCUUCUCAGGUCCCAACAGCAAACCAAGGCUCGAUUCUGCCAAAGUUCACUCCAGGGAACCAGUGAGUUUAUUGGGCUGCCUUACUGUGCACAGGUUACUUACAGGGGUGUGGGUACUUCUCCCCCAACAGGCUGCACCUAGAAAGCCUUAUCCAGCAGAGGGCUUCAGAAUAGCCAUAGAUGGAGCCUUCUUUACCUAGUCUUCUAGGACCUAGAAGUUCCUCCCUGAAGUUAUAAGCAAUUAAGUCAGCAUUGCAUGCAACAAGUGGUAAGGCUAUGCUGGGUUCUAAGGGUCCUGUGACCCUCCCUGCCCCUACCACAUGGGGGUGUAACAGUCAACAAGGCCAGCUGCAAUAAUCCUUUUGCACAUGGGCAUGGCUGAACCCCCCAAGAUUGCGGUUGUUUGGCUCAGAG